UGAGUAACGCGUAAAGAACUUGCCCUUUAGACUGGGAUAACAGAGGGAAACUUCUGAUAAUACUGGAUAAGUUAGUAUAUCGCAUGAUAUGCAAAUGAAAGCUACGGCACUAAAGGAGAGCUUUGCGUCCUAUUAGCUAGUUGGUAAGGUAAGAGCUUACCAAGGCGAUGAUAGGUAGCCGGCCUGAGAGGGUGGACGGCCACAAGGGGACUGAGAUACGGCCCUUACUCCUACGGGAGGCAGCAGGC
rnacentral:rRNA from 1 species